AGUGAACGCUGGCGGCAUGCCUAACACAUGCAAGUCGAACGACAGCACAGUAAGAGCUUGCCCUUACCGGUGGCGAGUGGCGGAUGGGUGACGAAUGCAUCAGAAUCUUCUUUUUCGUGGGGGAUAACGGAGGGAAACUUACGCUAAUACCGCAUACAUUCUACGGGUGAAUGCAAGGGAUCUACGCACCUUUCGCGUUUGAAUGAGCUGGCGUCGGAUUAGCUAGUUGGCUGGGUAAGGGCCCACCAAGGCAACGAUGCGUAGCUGAUCUGAGAGGAUGAUCAGCCACACUGGAACUGAGACACGGUCCAGACUCCUACGGGAGGCAGCAGUGGGGAAUCUUGGGCAAUGGGCGCAAGCCUGAUGCAGCCAUGCCGCGUGAGUGAUGAAGGCCUUCGGGUUGUAAAGCCCUUUUGUUGGGAAAGAACAGCAGCAUGUUAAUACCCCGCUGUUCUGACGGUACCCAAAGAAUAAGCAACGGCUAACUUCGUG
rnacentral:rRNA from 1 species